GAUGAACGCUGGCUACAGGCUUAACACAUGCAAGUCGAGGGGAAACGACGGGGAAGCUUGCUUCCCCGGGCGUCGACCGGCGCACGGGUGAGUAACGCGUAUCCAACCUGCCUCUGACUGAGGGACAACCCGUCGAAAGUCGGCCUAAUACCUCAUGGCAUCGUCUGCGGGCAUCCAACGACGAUUAAAGAUUUCAUCGGUCAGGGAUGGGGAUGCGUCUGAUUAGCUUGUUGGCGGGGUAACGGCCCACCAAGGCUACGAUCAGUAGGGGUUCUGAGAGGAAGGUCCCCCACAUUGGAACUGAGACACGGUCCAAACUCCUACGGGAGGCAGCAGUGAGGAAUAUUGGUCAAUGGGCGAGAGCCUGAACCAGCCAAGUAGCGUGCAGGAAGACGGCCCUAUGGGUUGUAAACUGCUUUUAUGCGGGGAUAAAGUGAGGGACGUGUCCUUCAUUGCAGGUACCGCAUGAAUAAGGACCGGCUAAUUCCGUGCCAGCAGCCGCGGUAAUACGGAAGGUCCGGGCGUUAUCCGGAUUUAUUGGGUUUAAAGGGAGCGUAGGCCGUGGAUUAAGCGUGUUGUGAAAUGCAGGUGCUCAACGUCUGCACUGCAGCGCGAACUGGUCCACUAGAGUGUGCGCAACGCAGGCGGAAUUCGUCGUGUAGCGGUGAAAUGCUUAGAUAUGACGAAGAACUCCGAUUGCGAAGGCAGCUUGCGGGAGCACAACUGACGCUGAAGCUCGAAAGUGCGGGUAUCGAACAGG
rnacentral:rRNA from 1 species